rnacentral:rRNA from 1 species
CGUGAGCGGCGGACGGGUGAGUAACGCGCGGGUAACCUGCCUCAUACAGGGGGAUAACAGUUGGAAACGGCUGCUAAUACCGCAUAAGCGCACAGUACCGCAUGGUACGGUGUGAAAAACUCCGGUGGUAUGAGAUGGACCCGCGUCUGAUUAGGUAGUUGGUGGGGUAACGGCCUACCAAGCCGACGAUCAGUAGCCGACCUGAGAGGGUGACCGGCCACAUUGGGACUGAGACACGGCCCAA